GCUGGGUGUGGUGGUGCGCACCUGUAAUCCCAGCUACUUGGGGGGCUGAGGCAGGAGGAUCACUUGAACCUGGGAGGUCAAGGUUGCAGUGAGCCAAGAUCACACCAUUGCACUUCAGCCUGGGUAACAAAGUGAGACCCUGUCUCAA
ensembl:misc_RNA Metazoa_SRP Metazoan signal recognition particle RNA